GUCUAUGGCCAUACCACCCUGAACGCACCUGAUCUUGUGUGAUCUCAGAAGCUAAGCAGGGUUGGACCUGGUUAGUACUUGGAUGGGAGACUGCCUGGGAAUACUGGAUGCUGUAGGCC
rnacentral:rRNA from 1 species